ACAAGCUUUCGGGAGAACCUCCCUUUCUCAAGUCUGAAGCAUUUCUGAGCAAGACGACACUAUGUGAAAUAGUGUCAGGAAUGCUUCAGACUUGAGAAAGGGAGGUUCUCCUGAAAGCUUG